ACGGGAGGCAGCAGUGGGGAAUAUUGCACAAUGGGGGAAACCCUGAUGCAGCGACGCCGCGUGAGUGAAGAAGUAUUUCGGUAUGUAAAGCUCUAUCAGCAGGAAAGAAAAUGACGGUACCUGACUAGGAAGCCCCGGCUAACUACGUGCCAGCAGCCGCGGUAAUACGUAGGGGGCAAGCGUUAUCCGGAUUUACUGGGUGUAAAGGGAGCGUAGACGGUAAGGCAAGUCUGAAGUGAAAUGCCAGGGCUCAACCCUGGAACUGCUUUGGAAACUGUCCUACUAGAGUGCAGGAGAGGUAAGUGGAAUUCCUAGUGUAGCGGUGAAAUGCGUAGAUAUUAGGAGGAACACCAGUGGCGAAGGCGGCUUACUGGACUGUAACUGACGUUGAGGCUCGAAAGCGUGGGGAGCAAACAGGAUUAGAUACCCUGGUA
rnacentral:rRNA from 1 species